rnacentral:rRNA from 1 species
UACGGAGGAUGCAAGCGUUAUCCGGAAUUAUUGGGCGUAAAGCGUCCGCAGGUGGCACUUCAAGUCUGUCGUCAAAGACCGGGGCUUAACCCUGGAAAGGCGAUGGAAACUGAAAGGCUAGAGAGAGGUAGGGGUAGAGGGAAUUCCCAGUGUAGCGGUGAAAUGCGUAGAUAUUGGGAAGAACAUCGGUGGCGAAAGCGCCUUGCUGGGUCUGCACUGACACUGAGGGACGAAAGCUAGGGGAGCGAAAGGG